CAGUCGCCGCGGUAAAACGAAGGGUGCAAGCGUUAAUCGGAAUUACUGGGCGUAAAGCGUGCGUAGGCGGUUUGUUAAGUCUGUUGUGAAAUCCCCGGGCUCAACCUGGGAAUGGCAAUGGAUACUGGCAAGCUAGAGUGUGUCAGAGGAUGGUGGAAUUCCCGGUGUAGCGGUGAAAUGCGUAGAGAUCGGGAGGAACAUCAGUGGCGAAGGCGGCCAUCUGGGACAACACUGACGCUGAGGCACGAAAGCGUGGGGAGCAAACAGGAUUAGAUACCCGAGUAGUCCCUGUCUCUUAUAC
rnacentral:rRNA from 1 species